AUUGAACGCUGGCGGCAGGCCUAACACAUGCAAGUCGAGCGGAUGAAGGGAGCUUGCUCCUGGAUUCAGCGGCGGACGGGUGAGUAAUGCCUAGGAAUCUGCCUGGUAGUGGGGGAUAACGUCCGGAAACGGGCGCUAAUACCGCAUACGUCCUGAGGGAGAAAGUGGGGGAUCUUCGGACCUCACGCUCUCAGAUGAGCCUAGGUCGGAUUAGCUAGUUGGUGGGGUAAAGGCCUACCAAGGCGACGAUCCGUAACUGGUCUGAGAGGAUGAUCAGUCACACUGGAACUGAGACACGGUCCAGGCUCCUACGGGAGGGAGCAGUGGGGAAUAUUGGACAAUGGGCGAAAGCCUGAUCCAGCCAGGCCGCGUGUGUGAAGAAGGUCUUCGGAUUGUAAAGCACGUUAAGUUGGGAGGAAGGGCAGUAAGUUAAUACCUUGCUGUUUUGACGUUACCAACAGAAUAAGCACCGGCUAACUUCGUG
rnacentral:rRNA from 1 species